rnacentral:rRNA from 1 species
GACAGAGGGUGCAAACGUUGUUCGGAAUUACUGGGCGUAAAGCGAGUGUAGGCGGUCCGCUAAGUCGGGUGUGAAAGCCCUGGGCUCAACCCAGGAAGUGCACUCGAAACUGGCGGGCUAGAGUAUCGGAGAGGUUGGUGGAAUUCUCGGUGUAGAGGUGAAAUUCGUAGAUAUCGAGAGGAACACCGGUGGCGAAGGCGGCCAACUGGACGAAUACUGACGCUGAGACUCGAAAGCGUGGGGAGCGAACAGG